rnacentral:rRNA from 1 species
UACGAAGGGGGCUAGCGUUGCUCGGAAUCACUGGGCGUAAAGCGCACGUAGGCGGAUUGCUAAGUCAGGGGUGAAAUCCUGGAGCUCAACUCCAGAACUGCCCUUGAUACUGGCGGUCUCGAGUCCGGGAGAGGUGAGUGGAACUGCGAGUGUAGAGGUGAAAUUCGUAGAUAUUCGCAAGAACACCAGUGGCGAAGGCGGCUCACUGGCCCGGUACUGACGCUGAGGUGCGAAAGCGUGGGGAGCAAGCAGG